rnacentral:lncRNA from 1 species
GGCAUGGCUGGGGCAGAAUUCUCUGUAGGUAGGGUGUGUCACCUGGGGAAGGACAUUCUGGGUCCUUGGCAGGGUGACUAUAAAAGCACACUGGCAUGAAGGCCUAGGUGGGGCCAUAUCUGAAGGGCUGGGGCAUGCUCUUUGAGUCGUGGGUAGAGCCGUGAGCCCUUGCCCUUUGUCCUGAGCCAGUGUGUGCCUCCCGCAGCAGCCACAUGCCCGCGGAUUGAUGUCAGGAGCCACCUCUGCAAGCCUGGCUUACCACAGGGAGCCAGGCUCCAGGACAGCAGAGUGAGGGAGAGGCACUGGCUCCAUGGCACCCACUGUGUCUGGGGGGCAUCCAGGAGGCUGGCUCUCUGAGGGCCUGGGGAACAGGAGAGCAAAGAAGGGGAGCACUUAGAUUCACGAGCCCAGCCCCUAGGGGAUAGAAGCCUAAGGAUCCUGUGAGGGCUGCUGGUGGGGUGAGGCCAUCCCACGCAACUCUGGGGUCUGUGAAGCCACCAAGGAUCAAGGAAUGGAAGAGCUGC